UGGGGAAUUUUGGACGAUGGGCGAAAGCCUGAUCCAGCAAUGCCGCGUGUGUGAAGAAGGCCUUCGGGUUGUAAAGCACUUUUGUCCGGAAAGAAAUCCUUGGCUCUAAUACAGUCGGGGGGAUGACGGUACCGGAAGAAUAAGCACCGGCUAACUACGUGCCAGCAGCCGCGGUAAUACGUAGGGUGCAAGCGUUAAUCGGAAUUACUGGGCGUAAAGCGUGCGCAGGCGGUUUGCUAAGACCGAUGUGAAAUCCCCGGGCUCAACCUGGGAACUGCAUUGGUGACUGGCAGGCUAGAGUAUGGCAGAGGGGGGUAGAAUUCCACGUGUAGCAGUGAAAUGCGUAGAGAUGUGGAGGAAUACCGAUGGCGAAGGCAGCCCCCUGGGCCAAUACUGACGCUCAUGCACGAAAGCGUGGGGAGCAAACAGGAUUAGAUACCCUGGUAGUCCACGCCCUAAACGAUGUCAACUAGUUGUUGGGGAUUCAUUCCUUAGUAACGUAGCUAACGCGCGAAGUUGACCGCCUGGGGAGUACGGUCG
rnacentral:rRNA from 1 species